rnacentral:rRNA from 1 species
AACGAACGCUGGCGGCAGGCUUAACACAUGCAAGUCGAACGCCCCGCAAGGGGAGUGGCAGACGGGUGAGUAACGCGUGGGAAUCUACCGUACCCUACGGAAUAACGCAUGGAAACGUGAGCUAAUACCGUAUACGCCCUACGGGGGAAAGAUUUAUCGGGGUAUGAUGAGCCCGCGUUGGAUUAGCUAGUUGGUGGGGUAAAGGCCUACCAAGGCGACGAUCCAUAGCUGGUCUGAGAGGAUGAUCAGCCACAUUGGGACUGAGACGCGGCCCAAACUCCUACGGGAGGCAGCAGUGGGGAAUAUUGGACAAUGGGCGCAAGCCUGAUCCAGCCAUGCCGCGUGAGUGAUGAAGGUCUUAGGAUUGUAAAGCUCUUUCACCGGAGAAGAUAAUGACGGUAUCCGGAGAAGAAGCCCCGGCUAACUUCGUGCCAGCAGCCGCAGUAAGAC